UACAGAGGUCCCAAGCGUUGUUCGGAUUCACUGGGCGUAAAGGGCGCGUAGGUGGCCUGUGCACGCGUGCGGUGAAAGCUCGGGGCUCAACCCCGAGUCGGCCGUGCGAACUGCUGGGCUCGAGCACGGUAGAGGCAGAUGGAAUUCCCGGUGUAGCGGUGGAAUGCGUAGAGAUCGGGAAGAACAUCAGUGGCGAAGGCGGUCUGCUGGGCCGUUGCUGACGCUGAGGCGCGACAGCGUGGGGAGCAAACAGG
rnacentral:rRNA from 1 species